CUCUCUGCGUAGGAUCAUCAUGCCGAGCAUAAACUGGACUUUCCCACUUGCCUGGCAGGAGUGAGACAGAUCACUGUGUGCUAUAUGAGCAUCUGAGGAAGCAGGAGGCUACUAUGAGCCGACUGGAGUUGGUCCACUUCCUGUUGUCCUGUUCAUGGAAUGCCCUUUGAAAAGGAGCAGCUAGACCCUGAUGAGUUGGAAACCAUCACAGUGCACAAAAUCCUGGAGACUACACCUUCUUUCAAAGAGCAGUGUACUUGAUGUCCUUGGAGUGUGCACCCCUGUGGAAUCCAGUUCAUCUCCAAUCUGUCAGAAAGCAUCAGAGGUGGUUUUGAGUCCUUAUGUCCUAAGCCUGUGAACA